GAUGAACGCUGGCGGCGUGCCUAAUACAUGCAAGUCGAGCGAACGGACGAGAAGCUUGCUUCUCUGAUUUUAUCAGCUGAGGGAUGAUUAACACGUGUAUAACCUACCUAUAAGACUGGGAUAACUUCGGCAAACAGUAUCUAAGACCGGAUAAUAUUUUGAACCGCAUGGUUCAAAAGUGAAAGACGGUCUUUCUGUCACUUAUAGCUUGAUCCGCGCUGCAUUAGCUAGUUGGUAAGGGAACGGCUUACCAAGGCAACGAUGCAUAGACGACCUGAGAGGGUGAGUGGCCACACUGGAACUGAGACACGGUCCCGACUCCUGCGGGAGGCAGCAGUAGGGAAUCCUCCGCAAUGGGCGAAAGGCUGACGGAGCACCGCGGCGUGAGUGAUGAAGGUCUUCGGCUCGUAAAGCUCUGUUAUUAGGGAAGAACUUAUGUGUAAGUACCUGUGCAGAUCUUGACGGUACCUAAUCAGAAAGCCACGGCUAACUCCGUG
rnacentral:rRNA from 1 species